CGUUCUCCACACUUGGUCCUCUGUCUCUCAUCGUCCCAUGAUCCUGAGUUACAUCCUGUUCUCAUCAACCGUGAUCUAGAUCCAAACUAGGAUCCCGUGUUACAUACGUGUCAUGGCCGCUGACUGUACCACCCAUGUGGGGGAAGGUCCUACAUGUUUCCUGAUCUUUAGCGACCUAUUUGUGAAGAAUAGCGAUAUGUCACAGUGUGAACGAUAAUUACAGGGGCGACCUAUUUAUACUUCACAAGGAAGACCUUGAUUCUGAACAUCACCAUGAACUAUCAGUGCCGAAGCAGGGAUUAGAAAGCAUGCCGCAUUAGGACUGCUUCCAUCGAAUCUCACUCGUAACCUUGAACUUUUAAAAAUGUCAUAGAAACCGUUUGAUACAGAUUAUAAAUUAUACCUCUUUACCAAGCGUCGUCUGCGUUGCAACGUGUACGUACUCUAAUGUAACCUCAUUUUCCCUUCAGGGGGUAAUUUGGAGAUUAAUUCAAUUCCGUUUUAUUGCAUUUAUUUUAGCCAAGAGUCCGUCAUUUUGGGGUCUGAGCUCAGUUUUGCAAAGCUCUUGGAAAUGGCAAGAACAUGGCUGCUUUGUCACCGGUGUAUUCCUGAAAGCGAAUUUCUGCAUCCGGUACUUGGAAUACAUUCUUGAAAAGGAAUUUUGUCUUGGGAGUAAGGAGAACUUUUAUGUGGCCAUGUUAACUGUAUUAGAAUAGAGUAGGGGAAUAGUACAAUCUCUUCUUACUGCCUAGAAAAUGUCAUCUAAAUGGACUGGCAUGCGAGUUCCUUAAUCUUCGCAAAAAGUCAGCCUUUUUUUAUUAUUUUCUUCUGAAGAUAUCCUGAAAAUAUGAAUGGCUUGCAAGCAGGCCCUAGGGCUACCUGGGUGGUCCUAUCCAUUUUACAUCCAACUCUUGAGUUGGGCUCAGGUUGGGAUCUCAGGGAGAGAGAGAGUGAAGAAAGAAGGAAGGAAAGAAGUCCUAGACUCGUUUUGGGAAAUGACCCAUUGUGAUCUUUACAUCAGAGGAGGAAAAAGUGAGCAAGUUGCAUUUUAUGGACCAAAUCUAAAUCCUUGGAAAAUUAUGGCUUGAAAAAAAAAAAAAAAAAAAAAGGAUCCUAUUUUGUUACUAUUCCUACUUUAUCUUCAGAGUACUCGAUCCAUGAAUGUUAAAUCCGGGGGCUCCUGGGUGGCUCAGUCAGUGAAGCAUCUGCCUUAGGCUCCCGUCCUGAUCCCAGGGUCCAGGGACCCCAUAUCGGGCUCUCUGCUCAGCAAGGAGCCUGCUGCUUCCUCUGCCCCUCCCCAUGCUCAUACAUGGUCUCCCUCUCUGCCACAUAAAUGAAUAAAAUAUUUUUAAACCAUGGAACACCAAAUCCAAUUCGAAGAGUGUAGACCUGGUUCUUGGCUAUUAAUUAAGCUUUGGGAUUUCAUGGGUUUGCUUAUAAAUUCAAGCAUGCAUUGGACAAAUAUUUAUUUGAUGCACCGGCCGGUAAGUCACGGGGAAGAUAGCAGCCAACAAAACCGUGCUCUGUGCACAGGGAGCUGAAGGUCCUGUGGGGGAGGUCAGGCGACAAUCCAGUAAGCACAUGGUGUGAUGGCAGGUUUCCCUGGUUCCAGACAUUCUAGCGAAACAAGGGGCCGGGAAAUUAGGGCUCACCACUCAUUUUUUGUCAGGGAAGCUUUACUGGAGUUCAUUCGUGCUCAUGCAUGUAUAUAUUGUCCAUUGAUGCUUUGGGCUGACUCAGCAGAGUUAAAGAUCAUGCUAUCAUUGACAUGGCCCAUGGUGUAAGUUGAAGGGAUACAAUGUGUCGACUUCAUACGUUUAUACGUUGCAACAAAAUAACCAGCAGCAUCGGAUUAGCUAACCGCUCCUUACAUGAUGUGAUUACAGUGUGUGUGUUGAGCACAUUUAAUAUCUACUGUCUUUGCAUUUGUAACAAUGUAUCGUACGGUAUGUGUUAACAAUGACAACCGUGCAGCUCUAGAUCCCCUGAACUUAUUUAACUCGGCAGUUGUGCCCUUUGGCCAAUGUUCAUGGCAGCAUUAUUCAUACUAGCUAGAAGCUGGGGGCAGUUCUCAGGCCUGUCCCUGGUGCAGAAAGACAAUGUGGCCCAUGGGUCUAAAGAAAUUAUAUUCUGCAACUGAAAGGACACAUCCCGAUACAAAGUUACAGCUGGGUGAGCCUGGAAAGCAUUAUGCUAAGUGAAAGAAGCCCUACGCAGAAGGCCGAAUCUUAUAGGGUUUUUUUAUCUGAAAUUUCCAGCCAAGUCACAUCAGAGGAGGACUAGGAAUAAGUAGAUGAGUAUUUACCUGGGCUGGGUGUGGUCUUGGCGCAAGGCUACUUUUGGAAGGGACGUAACUUUUCUAAAAUGGGUUUGCGGUGAAGAUUGCACAACUGUAUAGAUUGACUAAAAAUCACUGAAUUGUAUCUUACAAUGGAUGAAAAUAUGGUGUGUAAAUUAAACCUCUAUGAA